UAAAUAUUUGAAUAAAUAAGGCAAUGUCGUAGAAAUCUGAAUUAGCCCUACAAGAGGCAUAAACUGUUAUUACUGACUUGGAAACCACGCACACACCGACGAGGAUGACAGGUGGAUUUGUCCCGGGGCGCGGCGGGCCCGGCGCUCUCCCGCUCGCUGGAUGCUCGGGACGGGCAGCUCCGGACAGAGCUCCGGGACCCGCUGCUCACCCAGCCCCUUCAUCUCACUCUGCUCCCCGCGACCUGCAACCCCUCCUUCUCCCGUGCAAGAAAGAGCCGGGAAACUUUUCUCCACUUGCAUUUUUACUUUGCUUACCCCAGCCCGCCAAGGAAGACCCACACUCCUCCCUCCGCGCCGGCUCUUUAGGUCUGAGCCCUAAUUAGGGCUCGGGUCAGACGUCCCGGAAAGGGACCAGGUACUGGAGGCCCCGAAAGGCUGCGCUCGGUGCUUUAAAGAGCGUCCUCCCAGAGGUUUCACAGUGACAAACCUGUUCUGUCCUAUCCCUCUUCCAAAAAAAAAAAAACCAAAAAAACAGGCUGGGCACUGAUCAUUCGUGGGACCUUUCCCAUGACCAGCCGAGCAACGGGGACAGGGAGCUCCUCCGGGCUGGUUCACAAUCGUGACAGAAGUUUGGUCGUGGGGGGAAGCUGCUGGCCAAUUUCUAGAAGGAAGGGGCCCUAGGGCUCCGACCCGCAGCGCUCCGCGCCGCUCGGCGGGUAUUACCACUUGCUGUGCCCAAGCAGGGCUUCGCCGUCGCCGCUCUUUCCAAGGGAGAGCUGUUUUCCCCCUGCCCAGGGACUGGAGCUGAUUCACUCACGAAGACCGCGGUGUGGGGAAAUGGGCAUGGGGUGAGAAAAAUGAGAAAGAAAGAGGACCAACUCGUCUUAGGAAAAGUUAUUUCCCAGCACAAACACCGAUGGUUUUAUUCACGCGACUUGUCCCACCAAAAUAUAUGUGAUGAUCAUGGGGAGCCAGGAGUAGAUUUUGGCCCCACGUGUUUUCUCCUCUCCUCAAGCCACCCAGUUGAAUAGUGCCGAAUUUCUCGUCACCUGAGAAAAAC
rnacentral:lncRNA from 12 species